GCCUGUUCUCCUGCUCUUCCGUGGUUAACUCUACCCAACAAUGGAAGGAACACAAGACAAACUCAGCUUGAUUUAAUAAUUGCAGUCAUGAUUUAUGUGCAACGGUGUCACUUCACUGAGCAUUGAUUUGACAGAUAAUGGAAAGCAUGUGCCUGGCUUAUUUGGAAAGUUUAUUUGACUCUACAGAUUCUUGAAGGAAUGUGCAGAAACUCCUAAAUAUAUGGAACAAACUCACCUGGUGUAAAUCAGGUGUCUGAAUUGACAAGAGCAGUAAUGGAUUGAGGCAAGAUGAAAAGCUGAGUUUUGGGUUAGCCUUCUGGCAUGCUUUUGACACCAUUACAAUUUCAGGUGGUCACUCAGGAAGGAGCAGCUGGGAUUCAAAUCAUCACUGAAGAUAAAAGCCCUCGCAGACAGAAGGACACCAAAGUCCUUCAGAGCACGGCCACAGGAAAUACUGGUCACCAUUUCAACAGCUGUAAAACUGGAUGUUGCAGGUGUCUUUCAUUGACAGCUGCAAUUCUACUGAUGCUGUGCAGCACAGGAUGUCCAUUCUCAUACGUUUCAAGACACAGGAAAUGCAACUCAGUAUCUGAAUGCAUAAGAAGG
rnacentral:lncRNA from 1 species